rnacentral:lncRNA from 1 species
GGGGACAACUUGGACAAAAGCAAGGAAGUAUAAAGAGAAACGGGACAAUAUAAAGAUCAGAUGGACAUGGUCACUAUCUGUAAACGGCUUACAUGUUGAAAUGAGCCUCCAUAGAGCAUCAUGGCAGCAGCAAGGCUUUGCUAAGGCAGUGGAGUAACAUGGACUGGUUUUACCAUCCUGUCUGAAGCAACCAAAGAAAAAACAGACAAGAUAUAUGAAACAGUGGUUUCAAGAAAUUGGACAUCAGGUAGAAGAAGACUGUGAUUCCUGAGAGAUGGGAAACAAAUGAGGAAGGCUGCAGAUGCAUCCGAUGGAAGAAGGGGAAGUGUUUUCUUGCUGACCGCCUUGCUCGCUUCCUGUGCCUAGAGCGAUGGAAUGCUUCUGAGCUAUCAGAUGACUUGUGGAGGUCUGGUAUUUUCUAUCUUUGCCUCUACUGCUAUCCGCCACUUCCAGAGAUGUACUAGCUGAGCUUGUAGAUCUGAUUUAUGGAGGGUUUCUAAAGACAACUUUCAGCUGUGUAUUUGUAUGCAGCUCUCUGUAUGGGCUACUCAACAGGCAUUCAGAUUUAGGGGGAGAAGCAUAUGCAUCUCAGAAGGAAGCAGAUGCUGCAUAAUCAACAGUAAUUUAGAAGGAAAAGAGAAGGUGAGAAAAGGACAGACCCCAUAUCCGACAUCAGGAGGUUUUGUGCCACUGCUGUCUCCUUUCUGAGGCUCCUGGGUGAUUUUGUGUCUCAAGCCGCUGCACCAGAAGUCACCGGCACCAUUCUGAGAGCUCGAUGUGCAAGUACGAAAGAAGCAAAAGUAAGAAGAGCGAGUUACGGGAGUAUAGACGCCGCCAAACUCAGCUGCUGCCAUGGAAAGGAUCACAUCGUUAGCGGGAGAGUGGAAUAGGCCUUCAAAGAAGUUACCAAACCUCUCGUUAAGAAGUGAAUGCAGUGUGGCAAAGUGUGAACGUCAAGGUCUUCGGGGUCUGAGAACUCUAAAGAUCGCUCUGAGUGAGGUUCUGCUCUUCUGCUUCUUGAUCCUGGAAAUGUUAUUUGCUCACUCCCAGUCUCAUUUUAUCACUUGUAAAAUAG